rnacentral:rRNA from 1 species
GGAAGGACUGGUGGAGCGCUUAGAAGUGAGAAUGCCGGUAUGAGUAGCGAAAGACGGGUGAGAAUCCCGUCCACCGAAUGCCUAAGGUUUCCUGAGGAAGGCUCGUCCGCUCAGGGUUAGUCAGGACCUAAGCCGAGGCCGACAGGCGUAGGCGAUGGACAACAGGUUGAUAUUCCUGUACCACCUCUUUAUCGUUUGAGCAAUGGAGGGACGCAGAAGGAUAGAAGAAGCGUGCGAUUGGUUGUGCACGUCCAAGCAGUUAGGCUGAUAAGUAGGCAAAUCCGCUUAUCGUGAAGGCUGAGCUGUGAUGGGGAAGCUCCUUAUGGAGCGAAGUCUUUGAUUCCCCGCUGCCAAGAAAAGCUUCUAGCGAGAUAAAAGGUGCCUGUACCGCAAACCGACACAGGUAGGCGAGGAGAGAAUCCUAAGGUGUGCGAGAGAACUCUGGUUAAGGAACUCGGCAAAAUGACCCCGUAACUUCGGGAGAAGGGGUGCUUUCUUAACGGAAAGCCGCAGUGAAUAGGCCCAAGCGACUGUUUAGCAAAAACACAGGUCUCUGCGAAGCCGUAAGGCGAAGUAUAGGGGCUGACACCUGCCCGGUGCUGGAAGGUUAAGGAGAGGGGUUAGCGUAAGCGAAGCUCUGAACUGAAGCCCCAGUAAACGGCGGCCGUAACUAUAACGGUCCUAAGGUAGCGAAAUUCCUUGUCGGGUAAGUUCCGACCCGCACGAAAGGUGUAACGAUUUGGGCACUGUCUCAACCAGAGACUCGGUGAAAUUAUAGUACCUGUGAAGAUGCAGGUUACCCGCGACAGGACGGAAAGACCCCGUGGAGCUUUACUGUAGCCUGAUAUUGAAUUUUGGUACAGUUUGUACAGGAUAGGCGGGAGCCAUUGAAACCGGAGCGCUAGCUUCGGUGGAGGCGCUGGUGGGAUACCGCCCUGACUGUAUUGAAAUUCUAACCUACGGGUCUUAUCGACCCGGGAGACAGUGUCAGGUGGGCAGUUUGACUGGGGCGGUCGCCUCCUAAAGUGUAACGGAGGCGCCCAAAGGUUCCCUCAGAAUGGUUGGAAAUCAUUCGUAGAGUGCAAAGGCAUAAGGGAGCUUGACUGCGAGACCUACAAGUCGAGCAGGGACGAAAGUCGGGCUUAGUGAUCCGGUGGUUCCGCAUGGAAGGGCCAUCGCUCAACGGAUAAAAGCUACCCCGGGGAUAACAGGCUUAUCUCCCCAAGAGUCCACAUCGACGGGGAGGUUUGGCACCUCGAUGUCGGCUCAUCGCAUCCUGGGGCUGUAGUCGGUCCCAAGGGUUGGGCUGUUCGCCCAUUAAAGCGGUACGCGAGCUGGGUUCAGAACGUCGUGAGACAGUUCGGUCCCUAUCCGUCGUGGGCGUAGGAAAUUUGAGAGGAGCUGUCCUUAGUACGAGAGGACCGGGAUGGACGCACCGCUGGUGUACCAGUUGUUCUGCCAAGGGCAUAGCUGGGUAGCUAUGUGCGGAAGGGAUAAGUGCUGAAAGCAUCUAAGCAUGAAGCCCCCCUCAAGAUGAGAUUUCCCAUAGCGUAAGCUAGUAAGAUCCCUGAAAGAUGAUCAGGUUGAUAGGUUCGAGGUGGAAGCAUGGUGACAUGUGGAGCUGACGAAUACUAAUAGAUCGAGGACUUAACCAUAUAA